rnacentral:rRNA from 1 species
UACGGAGGGGGCUAGCGUUGUUCGGAAUUACUGGGCGUAAAGCGCACGUAGGCGGAUCAGUAAGUUAGGGGUGAAAGCCCAGGGCUCAACCCUGGAACUGCCUUUAAUACUGCUGAUCUGGAGUCCGAGAGAGGUGAGUGGAAUUCCGAGUGUAGAGGUGAAAUUCGUAGAUAUUCGGAGGAACACCAGUGGCGAAGGCGGCUCACUGGUCCGGUACUGACGCUGAGGUGCGAAAGGCGUGGGGAGCAAACAGG